AUUGGGUAGGGGAGCGUUCUGUAAGCCGUUGAAGGUGAAUCGUAAGGUUUGCUGGAGGUAUCAGAAGUGCGAAUGCUGACAUGAGUAACGACAAAGGGGGUGAAAAACCUCCUCGCCGGAAGACCAAGGGUUCCUGUCCAACGUUAAUCGGGGCAGGGUGAGUCGACCCCUAAGGUGAGGCCGAAAGGCGUAAUCGAUGGGAAACGGGUUAAUAUUCCCGUACUUCUGACUAUUGCGAUGGGGGGACGGAGAAGGCUAGGUGGGCCAGGCGACGGUUGUCCUGGUUCAAGUGCGUAGGCUUGAGAGUUAGGUAAAUCCGGCUCUCUCUAAGGCUGAGACACGACGUCGAGCUGCUACGGCAGUGAAGUCAUUGAUGCCAUGCUUCCAGGAAAAGCCUCUAAGCUUCAGAUAGUCAGGAAUCGUACCCCAAACCGACACAGGUGGUCGGGUAGAGAAUACCAAGGCGCUUGAGAGAACUCGGGUGAAGGAACUAGGCAAAAUGGUACCGUAACUUCGGGAGAAGGUACGCUCUUGAUGGUGAAGUCCCUCGCGGAUGGAGCUGACGAGAGUCGCAGAUACCAGGUGGCUGCAACUGUUUAUUAAAAACACAGCACUGUGCAAAAUCGCAAGAUGACGUAUACGGUGUGACGCCUGCCCGGUGCCGGAAGGUUAAUUGAUGGGGUUAGCGCAAGCGAAGCUCUUGAUCGAAGCCCCGGUAAACGGCGGCCGUAACUAUAACGGUCCUAAGGUAGCGAAAUUCCUUGUCGGGUAAGUUCCGACCUGCACGAAUGGCGUAAUGAUGGCCACGCUGUCUCCACCCGAGACUCAGUGAAAUUGAAAUCGCUGUGAAGAUGCAGUGUACCCGCGGCUAGACGGAAAGACCCCGUGAACCUUUACUACAGCUUGGCACUGAACAUUGAACCUACAUGUGUAGGAUAGGUGGGAGGCUAUGAAGACGUGACGCCAGUUGCGUUGGAGCCGUCCUUGAAAUACCACCCUUGUAUGUUUGAUGUUCUAACUUAGACCCAUUAUCUGGGUUGAGGACAGUGCCUGGUGGGUAGUUUGACUGGGGCGGUCUCCUCCCAAAGAGUAACGGAGGAGCACGAAGGUGGGCUAAUCACGGUUGGACAUCGUGAGGUUAGUGCAAUGGCAUAAGCCCGCUUAACUGCGAGAAUGACGGUUCGAGCAGGUGCGAAAGCAGGUCAUAGUGAUCCGGUGGUUCUGUAUGGAAGGGCCAUCGCUCAACGGAUAAAAGGUACUCCGGGGAUAACAGGCUGAUACCGCCCAAGAGUUCAUAUCGACGGCGGUGUUUGGCACCUCGAUGUCGGCUCAUCACAUCCUGGGGCUGAAGUCGGUCCCAAGGGUAUGGCUGUUCGCCAUUUAAAGUGGUACGCGAGCUGGGUUUAGAACGUCGUGAGACAGUUCGGUCCCUAUCUGCCGUGGGCGUUGGAAGAUUGAAGGGGGCUGCUCCUAGUACGAGAGGACCGGAGUGGACGAACCUCUGGUGUUCGGGUUGUGUCGCCAGACGCAUUGCCCGGUAGCUAAGUUCGGAAUUGAUAAGCGCUGAAAGCAUCUAAGCGCGAAGCGAGCCCUGAGAUGAGUCUUCCCUGAUACUUUAAGUAUCCUAAAGGGUUGUUCGAGACUAGAACGUUGAUAGGCAGGGUGUGUAAGCGUUGUGAGGCGUUGAGCUAACCUGUACUAAUUGCCCGUGAGGCUUAACCAUACAACACCCAAGGGGUUUUGUA
rnacentral:rRNA from 1 species